rnacentral:rRNA from 1 species
GCGCAACCCCUAUUGUUAGUUGCCAUCAUUCAGUUGGGCACUCUAGCGAGAACUGCCGGUAAUAAACCGGAGGAAGUGGGGAUGACGUCAAAUCAUCAUGCCCCUUAUGACCUGGGCUACACACGUGCUACAAUGGUUGGUACAACGAGUUGCGAGUCGGUGACGGCGAGCUAAUCUCUUAAAGCCAAUCUCAGUUCGGAUUGUAGGCUGCAACUCGCCUACAUGAAGUCGGAAUCGCUAGUAAUCGCGGAUCAGCACGCCCGCGGUCCGAAUACGUUCCGGCCUU